GCCUGAUUAACUCAGUUGGUUAGAGUGUCGUACUAAUACAGAAAUCCUCUCUUGUAUCUUGUAUGCGAAAGUCAUCAGUUCAAACCUGUUAUUGGGCA